CCUACGAGUGGCAGCAGUGGGGAAUAUUGCACAAUGGGGGAAACCCUGAUGCAGCGACGCCGCGUGAGUGAAGAAGUAUUUCGGUAUGUAAAGCUCUAUCAGCAGGGAAGAAAAUGAUGGUACCUGAUUAAGAAGCCCCGGCUAACUCCGUGCCAGCAGCCGCGGUCAUACGUAGGGGGCAAGCGUUAUCCGGAUUUACUGGGUGUAAAGGGAGCGGAGACGGCAGCGCAAGUCUGGAGUGAAAGGCCGGGGCUUAACCCCGGAACUGCUUUGGAAACUGUGCAGCUAGAGUGCAGGAGAGGUAAGUGGAAUUCCUAGUGUAGCGGUGAAAUGCGUAGAUAUUAGGAGGAACACCAGUGGCGAAGGCGGCUUACUGGACUGUAACUGACGUUGAGGCUCGAAAGCGUGGGGAGCAAACAGGAUUAGAUACCCUUGUAGUC
rnacentral:rRNA from 1 species